ensembl:lncRNA
GAAAAAUCCUGUUUACAAAAAUUAACAAACAGUUCUCUUUAUUUGAUCCUCACUAAGACCCAGGAGGGCAGAUACUUCAAUUCCCAUUGCAUAGAGAGGGAGAUGGAAUUGGUUGUGAUGGUGGGGGUAUGCAAUGAUUGGCCUAAGGACAAGCCAACAAAGGAUGAGGGCUGGAAAAUUAUCUUGGGGUGCCUAUCCUCCAGCCCAAAGGCAUCUAUCCACAAGCCCCUUCCUCUGAAAUAGAGUCCUUGUCCACUGUUUCCAGUUGAACUCCAGAGACCUGGUGCCUUCAGAAGAGCAGGAUGUACAGGUGGGCUAGUUGCUGAGUAUUUCAGAUGAGAAGGCCCCAAAUCAGGAACAGAGUGAUUGCCUGUCACCGAGAGUGUGAAGAAUAGCUCAAGCAGCACAUCACAAGAAUAGGUGAAAUUCUUUUGAAGUUUCCCAUUAAAAUUCAUGUCUAUUUACAUUCAACUUUAAGAACUGUGCUUCGUGAUUCCCUUGAAGUAUCUGGCAAUGAAUCUGGAACAACAGAGGGAAUAGGCCUUGAGAAGGGAUGAUGUAAAGUAUUGUGAUGCUCCGACCAUUGCAUCUGGCACUAGCACACAAAGGGACUCUUCGUGUAAGGUCUGGGUUCACAAGAGUCGAUGAACUUUUCCCCUCAUCAGUGUUGAUAGGAGGACCAUCAAUGUUUUCUCUCUCUCCCACAGCCCAAUGAAUGUCAGGCCCCCAGCUUGUUAACUGCUGAUUUGGCCAUCAUUAGUCCCUGCUCCAGCUGACGGCCCAUUUAUCUUGCCUUCACACAUCACCAUGCCAACAGAUGAUGGUAUAUAGGUAUUCUUCUAUUACGCCUAAGUAGCACUUUGAAGCAUGUUUCAACUUAAAGUGACACACAAAUCUAACUUCCCUUGUCCUUUAAUUUGACUCAGUGGUAGCACUAUGGGAAUAACAGACAAUGCAUAGCCUAUUAGCAAUUAUAGUGUGAAUCACUGUUACAUUCUGUCAUCUUGGUAUUUAUUUAAUGCAG